AGCAACCCCAAGCUACGAGCCUUUGAUGUAGAUUUUACAUCUGAUAAAAACAUAUUGAUCAACUCCUGUGGACUGCAGAAGCAAAGCUGCCAUUAACCACCACACCCCAACAAGGCAUUGAGUUUGACUUUAAAGGUACAACGAUGAAGAAGGCUCAGCUCACAAUAUGAUGGGAGAACAAGAGGCACAAAUAAAUAGCCAUUGUCCAAUUGUG